UACGGGGGGGGCAAGCGUUGUUCGGAAUUACUGGGCGUAAAGGGCUCGUAGGUGGCCAACUAAGUCGGACGUGAAAUCCCUCGGCUUAACCGGGGAACUGCAUCCGAUACUGGAUGGCUUGAGUUCGGGAGAGGGAAGUGGAAUUCCCGGUGUAGCGGUGAAAUGCGUAGAUAUCGGGAGGAACGCCAGUGGCGAAGGCGGCUCCCUGGCCUGUCCCUGACGCUGAGACGCGAAAGCUGGGGGAGCGAACGGG
rnacentral:rRNA from 1 species